GGCAAGGUGGCCGAGUGGUUAUGGCGUCAGUUUUAGGAAAUCCGCAGACCCGUCUGCGGAAUUUCUCCACUGAUUCGAAAGAGCGCGGGUUCGAAUCCCGUCCUUGUCA